rnacentral:lncRNA from 1 species
GGGGAAGUUGAUCCCACAGCCACGGAAAUAGCCAGAUACUCCUCUGGCCUUCCCUCCCACCCUGAGGGAGACACCCGGAGGAGCAGAUCCCCAGGGAAUUCAGAACAGCUGCCACGGAACCUCCCCUGAAACUGCAGGGGCAUUCCCGGCAUGCCUACUCAACAGCCUGAGGAGCUGAGGUUCUGGGAGGCCCGGUGACUUGCUGGAGGACAACACACAGGCACCAGCUGAGAGACAGAAUUUUUGGAAGAACUUAGGAAAGAAACUAAGAAAAGACAACAGCACACAGCAACAAG